rnacentral:rRNA from 1 species
AGAGUUUGAUCCUGGCUCAGGAUGAACGCUAGCGGCAGGCUUAAUACAUGCAAGUCGAGGGGCAGCGGGUCCUUUCGGGGAUGCCGGCGACCGGCGAACGGGUGAGUAACACGUAUGGAACCUACCUUUAACUGGGGAAUAGCCCCGAGAAAUCGGGGUUAAUACCCCAUAUAAUAAUGAGGGGACAUCCCUUUAUUAUGAAAGCUCCGGCGGUUAAAGAUGGCCAUGCGGUCCAUUAGCUUGUUGGUGAGAUAAAGGCUCACCAAGGCCACUAUGGAUAGCUGAUCUGAGAGGAUGAUCAGCCACAUUGGCACUGAGACACGGGCCAAACUCCUACGGGAGGCAGCAGUAGGGAAUCUUGGUCAAUAGGCGAAAGCCUGAACCAGCCAUGCCGCGUGCAGGAUGAAGGCCCUACGGGUCGUAAACUGCUUUUAUUCGGGAAGAAAAAGACUGUAUCCACAGUCCUUGACGGUACCGAAUGAAUAAGGACCGGCCAACUCCGUGCCAGCAGCCGCGGUAAUACGGAGGGUCCAAGCGUUAUCCGGAUUCACUGGGUUUAAAGGGUGCGCAGGCGGUCAGGUAAGUCAGUGGUGAAAGCCUUCGGCUCAACCGGAGAAUUGCCAUUGAAACUACUUGACUUGAGUGUAGUAGAGGUGGGCGGAAUGUAGCAUGUAGCGGUGAAAUGCAUAGAUAUGCUACAGAACACCGAUAGCGAAAGCAGCUCACCAUACUACGACUGACGCUGAGGCACGAAAGCAUGGGUAGCCAACAGGAUUAGAU